AUGAGAACGUUUGAAAAUAGCAGAACGGUUACGAAUAGUGAAGUGAGUGGACGUAUAAGAGGGAGUAAGAUUUAUUACUUAUGAAAAACGAUUUAUUUUUCAAGUGAUUUUGAAUAAAAAAAAUAGUUAUUUUUCGAGAAAAUAUAAUUUAUAAUUUCCAUGUUAAAUUGUUGUAUUUAUCGUUUUUAUUUCUAUAUUGAAAAUUAACAGGUUAUGGAUUCAAGUUCAUGCUUGUUGACACGUGCUAAAUAAAAAUUUGAGAAAAAAAUAAUAAAUAAGUGAAGAAUUUCUUAUAAAAAUAAAAAAAAAUGGAAUAUAUUACAAAAUUAUAUUACAAAAGAUCAUAAAAUAUUUAAAACAAAUUAAUCGAUAAAUUAAAAGUUAUAGAUGGAUUUAGAAACUUCAAUUGAAUGUUAUUGAAAUCAUAAGAAAUAAUAAUGCUAGGGAACAUUAAGAGAAUGCUGAAUACAAAAGCGACUUCUUUAAAGAAUUUUUCAAGACAGAAUUUUAUAGCUUGAAUCAUAUAGAUGUAUUAGAAAUCAAAGAGAAAAAUAAAGGAAGCAAACCUAAUAAAAUAAAAGAGAAGAUGGAUCUCCUUAUAAGCUUAUCAAUCAAAAGUUUAAACAACAAAUUCGAACAAUCGAAUACAAAAAUUCCUUAAAAAAAAAAAAAAU